rnacentral:lncRNA from 1 species
CGGGGCUGAUCCUGGGGAGCUCUGAACCCAAAGUUUCACAGUGGGAAGGGGGAAAAAAGAAAAGAAAGCCUUUUUUUUUUUUUUUUUUUUUUCCCUACUGUAACAAUGCGAAUGGUAGGAAAUGACAGGACCGAGCGGCUCUAAAGCACUCCAAAAACUGACGGAGCGGGGAUGUCGAUCCAAACAAAACAAAACCAAACCACAAAAAAACACCAACCAACCCCCCCCAAAAAAAACACACCACCCCCCAAACGGGGUCUCCGGGCCUUGGUUCAAAGAGGACUGGCAGCCACGGAACGACCUCACCAAGGCUUCCAGGACUUCUAGUCACGUCAUUAAUGAAGACCUUUUGAACGUUUUGGUCUUCUGCCUUCCCUGUGAAGAGGAAUAAUGAUCCUGCCUUUGAAAAAUGUUUUGAAAUUGUCAGGGAUUUAGAUAUUAAUCAUUCUUAUGCCUCUUUAGAAGCAGUAAGAAAUGAAACAGCAUUUACAGAAAGACUGUGUUUUAUUAUAUUUACAACAAUGGAACUGGAAUAUAACCUUUUUAUUUAAAAAUCAGGCUGCAGAUUAAGUUUUGAUUGCAGUAUUUUGCACUGAAAAUAAGAAUAAUGGAAGCAAUUAAGUAUUCAUAUUCCCGCUCUCACACAAACACCUUCCAUGGUGAGCCUGUUUAUGCAACUGCGUGUGCCAUACAAUUGUUUUUAUUACCUUCUUAUAAAACAGCCUGUAUAAAACACUUUCUUUUUGAUUGUUUCUGUGCGUAUUGUUGAGCGUGUUUGCAUUCUAAAGGGCUUUGCC